rnacentral:rRNA from 1 species
CGUACCCACAAUUACUUGGAUAACUGUGGUAAUUUAGAGCAAAAACAUGCAAAUAGAGCUCCGACCGGAGACGGAAGGAGUGCUUUUAUUAGAUCAAAACCAAUCGGUGGCGAGUUCAACGCUCGUCAUCGUACAACUUGGUGACUCUGAAUAACUUUACGCUGAUCGCACGGUCUUGCACCGGCGACGCAUCUUUCAAAUGUCUGCCUUAUCAACUGUCGAUGGUAGGUUCUGCGCCUACCAUGGUUGUAACGGGUAACGGGGAAUCAGGGUUCGAUUCCGGAGAGGGAGCCUGAGAAACGGCUACCACAUCCAAGGAAGGCAGCAGGCGCGCAAAUUACCCACUCCCGGCACGGGGAGGUAGUGACGAAAAAUAACGAUACGGGACUCAUCCGAGGCCCCGUAAUCGGAAUGAGUACACUCUAAACCCUUUAACGAGGAUCAAUUGGAGGGCAAGUCUGGUGCCAGCAGCCGCGGUAAUUCCAGCUCCAAUAGCGUAUAUUAAAGUUGUUGCGGUUAAAAAGCUCGUAGUCGAAUUUGUGUCUCGUGCCGCCGGUUCAUCGCUCGCGCGGUGUUAACUGGCGAGUCGCGAGACGUCCUGCCGGUGGGCUUAGCUCGCAAGGGCGGCCCAACUCAAUCCUGCCGCGGUGCUCUUCAUUGAGUGUCGAGGUGGGCCGGCACGUUUACUUUG